UACGGGGGGAGCAAGCGUUGUUCGGAUUUACUGGGCGUAAAGGGCGCGUAGGCGGCCACCGCAAGUCGACUGUGAAAUCUCCGGGCUUAACCCGGAAAGGUCAGCCGAUACUGCGGGGCUAGAGUGCAGAAGGGGCAACUGGAAUUCUCGGUGUAGCGGUGAAAUGCGUAGAUAUCGAGAGGAACACCUGCGGCGAAGGCGGCUUACUGGCUCGUAUCUGACGCUCAGGCGCGACAGCGUGGGGAUCAAACAGG
rnacentral:rRNA from 1 species